rnacentral:lncRNA from 1 species
GGCCAGCGGAGCUGGGGGGCUGGUUUGGGGGCUUUCCUCUGUACAGAGGCCACAGUUCUUCUCGUCCAACUGCAGACUUUCUCUAACCUGUCCAAGAAGCAGAGUUACCAGGACACUGGCCUCUCACCUCUACUGCUCCCAGUUCUGCCCCAACUGCCUCAGGCUCCAGGAAAAUGGCUCAUCCUAGGGUUGGACCUUUCUUCUGACCCCCAGAACCCAGAACCCUGUCCCGUGAGUCUUCUAAGCCCUGCUACCCCGCUUCACCAUGUGGAAGUGCUUCUUAGAGUCACCACUAUGGUGAGCAGGACAGGGGCUACUGGGUGCAAAUGGGCAUGAGGUAUAAACUGCCCCUCUGAGUCCCAGGCUGCUCUUUACCUGUUCCUUCAGACACUUCUCAAGCUGACCUAAAUGCUAGCACCUUCUGACAUAGUAGGGAGGUCCCUGAUAAGAUUCAAAGAUGACUCCAAGGGGCCACAUAGCACAUAGCCCCUUCCAGGGGCAGACUGCAGAAAGGAUCACAGCCAUGCCUUCUAUUGGAUUUGAUUGACCAAAUGGUGAAGGACAGAGCUGCUGAGCAUCUCACUCUGUAUUAAAAAGGGCCAUGGUGUCUCCACCUAGAGCAGUUAGUUGUCUUUGGCUAAAAAGAGCCAAAAAAGGACCUGAGAGGAAGGCAGGCCCACACCAGCAUCAUGACAGAGCUGGAGACAGCCGUUUGUCUAAUCAUCAAAGUCUUCAACAGCACACAGUCCUCCUGCCACCUACAGGGUCCUCAUAGAUGGACGGAUGGACGGAUAGACACUGGCAGCUGAAGAUAAAAGUCAGAGUAAUACCCAUUGAAGGAGAUACAGAGACAGAGUGUGGAGCAGAAACUGAAGGAAUGACCAUCCAGAGACUGCCCCACCUGGGGAUCCAUCCUAUAUACGAUCACCAAACCCAGACACUAUUGUGGAUGCCAACAAGUGUUUGCU